UCUAUACUGAUUUUUAAGUGCCUCUUUUGUUUGUCUCGCAAGUAAAGUUAUCUUAAACUUUUCUCUAAUGUUUGUUCUGAAACCAUGUAGACAGCUCACAUUCUGCAACACCCAGUGGCUAAUUUCUAUAUACAGGUGGCCCUCAUUAUUCACAUGCCUUGCACCUGCAGUUUCACGUUGGGUGGUAGGAACCCAGUUUCUUUAUGUGUAGGGUCAAAAUAGGAUUAUUUUCACCUAUCCAUGGUUCCUGAGUGACUGGAAUGACUUCUGACAUCCGGUGAGGGGAUGAGGAGCCACCGGAUACCCCUUACAGCUGCAGCAGCACCCCCUGAGGCUGCCGAAGCCCUCAGUGAUGAGAACAAGCCAUCCAGUGUGAUCUUGAGAACCCAGGCCACACAAGAGGCCAAUUGCGCAGGCUCGGCGACCUCCAAAAUGGCCAUCACAAUGGAAGGGGAAGGCCUGAACUGGCCAAAGAGCCAGCUGAACCACGGACCACCACCCCCGCCCCGCCGCCUGCAACAACUCUCCCGGAGGGAGGGAGUGACUCUCCUGGAGGGGAUCAUAACCUGUGCUGAAAUGAAGCGUUGGCUGGCUCCACUCUAAGAGCAUAUGUGAAGGACUGGCCAGGAUUGUGUGCACAUUGCCUUUUAAAAAGAAGCUGCUAUCCAGCUGUUUGGUGA